UGUUGGAAUUGUAUAAAGGAAUCUACCAACUAAACGUUUCCAAAAUGACGUAUGCAAAUAUGCGUACCGUCACAUGCCUUACAAUUUGUCCAAUCACAAACGUGACGUAGAGAAAAAACCGCCACUUUCAAGGCUGUGUUGGCGCCCAUAAGUGAAAGAAUGUCUGACCGUCAUAUUCAUUCCCGUUUAUCAGAUUUACGAGCAAGGUUUAACGAUCAAGUGGACCGACUGAUAAAUGAGAUGGAAGAGCCAUCUGGAGAAAAUCUCGUGGACCAAUUCCAAAUGUUUAGAAGUAGCAGAAGUACUGCUGGGCCUACCUGCAGACGAAAGAGAAGACAAGUCACGCAAACACGCAAUGUGACUUUCAGAAUGAUUCUGUUAAAAAAACAUGUUGAGCGAUAUACAUCACAUACUGAUGGAAGUCCACAAUGCAAAAUCAUCAUCCCAUUACACCU